AUAACAGUUGGAAACGGCUGCUAAUACCGCAUAAGCGCACGAGAGGACAUCCUCUUGUGUGAAAAACUCCGGUGGUACAGGAUGGGCCCGCGUCUGAUUAGCUGGUUGGCAGGGUAACGGCCUACCAAGGCGACGAUCAGUAGCCGGUCUGAGAGGAUGAACGGCCACAUUGGAACUGAGACACGGUCCAAACUCCUACGGGAGGCAGCAGUGGGGAAUAUUGCACAAUGGGGGAAACCCUGAUGCAGCAACGCCGCGUGAGUGAAGAAGUAUUUCGGUAUGUAAAGCUCUAUCAGCAGGGAAGAUAAUGACGGUACCUGACUAAGAAGCUCCGGCUAAAUACGUGCCAGCAGCCGCGGUAAUACGUAUGGAGCAAGCGUUAUCCGGAUUUACUGGGUGUAAAGGGUGCGUAGGUGGCAGUGCAAGUCAGAUGUGAAAGGCCGGGGCUCAACCCCGGAGCUGCAUUUGAAACUGCAUAGCUAGAGUACAGGAGAGGCAGGCGGAAUUCCUAGUGUAGCGGUGAAAUGCGUAGAUAUUAGGAGGAACACCAGUGGCGAAGGCGGCCUGCUGGACUGUUACUGACACUGAGGCACGAAAGCGUGGGGAGCAAACAGGAUUAGAUACCCUGGUAGUCCACGCCGU
rnacentral:rRNA from 1 species